CCAUUUCUGUUUUCUUCUCGAACCGAUUUCGGACCAACUUGCUCAAGGACUUUGUGGGAACUGUGUGCCGAGACGAGAUCAAGAUCACACAGAUGGACAAAUCUCAAUUAGCCAUACACGUCAACCAACUCUGGGUGGACUGUGACCACGCAGCAUCCAAGAGGAGCGAGUCCGCCGAGUAGCUCUUAUCUGGAUGUCACAUUUCACGAGUGUGGACAUUAUUUCUGCCAAUGCACAUCUCGUCAAGAAGCAGUCAGAUAAGUAUGACUGUAGUCCACAAAGUCCAGGGACAUUUAUUUGCACUCGACACUUAGGCUUAUCGACCAAUCCCAAUAAAUUAAAUGGCCAUCCAGAACUGAAUAAAUGAGCCAUUUAUGACUAUCAAUGAAUCCCAGUUAAUGCAACAACAUGAUGAAUUAACUUAAUAAAUGAACUGGUUCUCCGACGCAUGAAUGAACUUUAGCAUAAAACGGGCUUUAUUUAUUCCCCUUAAAUAUGUAAAUAUGUAUUUAAUGCUCAUAUUAUUUAUGUCACCCACAAGUAAGUUGGGAAUGUGUGAUUAAGUUAUUAACGCGUAAUACACAAUAAUAAUAAUAAUAAUAAUAAAUGUUGUGUGUGUGUGCAGAUGUUCAGGAA